rnacentral:misc_RNA from 1 species
AAAUUUUAAUCACGAGUCAGACGCACUAUGUAUGCCGCCUAUAAACAACAGCUGCUGGUUUGCUUGAAAUUUCAACGCCGUCGUUUAAUGUUGUAUGACAGCGCAAUAGUAAUGCUUGAUAAGAAAAAUUCUACGAUAGCAAAACAAAGUUGAAAAAGAAAAUUAAAGUGUAAUUCAAAGAAAAUUAAAGUUUAAUUGCACAAGCGGAAUGCCAAAUAAAACGUAUCUUUUAAAUGCUAUUUGUAGACGGUGCUAGAAAAAGUGUGUAUAAACUAUGCAGCACUACAAAGAAGUACAUUUUAAUAUUUUCGUGGGAAAACAUGCUUACAUUCAACAGCCCCUAUAUAAAUCUCUGAAUCAUGUCAUGGAAUCCUUUGACGACCGCUGCCCAAGCAACUGAACUUUUCAGCAUUGCGUUGAUUUAUCUUCUACAUCAUAUCUACAAACUCCAAUAUCCAUUUUGAUGAUCCCUUGGAUGCGUGCCAGAUGGGCGGCACGCAAUAAACGAACCGCCAAUGAGGAGAAAAGUGAUACGGCACAACCCACUUGUGUUGAAGCGGUACGUGACGGCGGUAUACGCGCCUCAAGUGCCAAUUCCAGAACACAAACUGCACCUACGACAUCCGUGGCAUGCGAAUCACAUCCUAAGCAUGUUGCUUCACCCGCUCGUCACAGCGCACCACCACAACGACGUAGCCGACGUGCUGUCCCGGUAUCCCCUGCACGACACGUCAUACUUCAUCCUAAUGGACGUGCGGUACAUAUGCCGCCUAUCGAGCAAUCGCUAUCGCAGUCACAGCAGCUGCAGCAAGCCAGUCCCACUGUGACGCCGCAGCCACGUAGAGUGUCAAGAGUAAGAGGCUCGCGCCGUUCUGCGGUCCUAUCGAGCUCAGAUUGUGCUACUGCCGCCUCCAGUGAUAACAUCGAUCGAGAGACGCCCAAAGAAAGAAUCAAAGUGCGAGUAAUUUGUCCCAGUGCACGUGUCCUUAUUUUCGAAGCGGACGUAAAUAAACGCAUCACAGAGUUGAAAAACGAAGUAAUGUUGGAGCUAUCCGAUGACCCCUCGGCUAUGACACUAUUUGCGCCCGAUGUGCGCCAGCUUGGGCCACGUUACCGGAUCAUGCGCGCGGAGUACCAGGGUGCCGAGUUGAAUGAAAGUAUGACGCUGGCACAGCUGAAAAUUGAGGAUAAUUCCAUGUUGGUGCUGGUGCCCCGGCGGCAGAACCUGCAGCAAAUGACGGCACUAACGCGCGAAGUGCAACCGCCGCGGGAAGUGGAAAUCAAUGCUGCCACCCGUAACAUUCUGCCACACACUGCGGAUAUGCCAUUGGUGGAUAUCAACGAAAUAUUUCAGCAAUCGAAUCUGCAAUUCGAUGUGCGUAAAGUUCUCAUUUCACUGGCGCAAGCAUCUGCAGCCAUUAUAGGCGCUGGUCCUUAUGCGACAAGACUGAUAGCGAUGCUUAAACAGAAGCUGAUCAACAAGCGAAAUUAUCAGAAUGACACACUGCAGUGCCUUGUCGAUAUGGGUUUUAAAAAGGAGAAAGCCGAAUAUGCGCUUAAAGUUAAUCAAGGUGUAUACUCAGCAGCACUCGAAUGGCUCAUACAACAUCAAAGUGAGGAGGGUUCAGAGGAGGAAGCAGCAAUGGGUUUACAGAAAAGUUUAUCAGUACUCUCACCUUCUGGCAUAAUCACUAAUGAUAGCAUAGUUGAAAACACAGAAGCGCUUCUAGAGAUAGUACGCAUCUAUAGCCAUCGUGAUAUACCGCCUUCACCUGAGACUAUUAGUUCGUUGGUGGAAAUGGGUUUCGAAGAAACUGAAGUGCUGAACGCUUUAAAAAAGACUUGCAAUAACAAAGCAGCAGCGUGUGAAUGGUUGUGUGGAAAUCGUACUGGCAGUUUGAUUGAGCUGCGCGAAGGUCUAUCACAAGAUUCGCCUAUACUUAAGGCCAUACUCGAAAUGCCACAAGUGCAAAUGAACUUAAGUAACCCAAAAAUACUAAUAGCCUUUCUGUCCAUACUCGAAAACGAGAAUUCCAUACGCGUUUGGGGUGGCGACAAUGACACCACAUCUGUAAUUACACAUAUCCUGCAGAAAUAUCACGAAGAGAAGCAUGUGCUAGGCAUCAAUCAGUUCUAUAGUAAUCGUCAAUAAUAUACCGAAAAGCAAACUAUAAGCUAGCGUGCAGUUUCUAAAUAAAUAAGCGUUUAAAGCGCAUGCGCACAACAUUCACAUUAUACCUUAUGACAUGAAUGAAUGAAUGGCGGUGAAAAAGUAAAAAUAUUACACCAAAGAAAGUAAACGAAAAAUAUCUGAUAGCUGAAGCGUGGAAAGAGAAAGAAGCUAUAAGUAACAAGCAGUUUCGUAUUAGCUUAAAAAUUUUACGCAACGCACAGCACGCGCCAAAAAGCCUCUUAUACACACACACACAUACAAAAAUUUAAGUGCUAAAACCAAAAAUUAAAAUUAAUAGUAGUAAUAUGUAAAAGUGCAAUUUUAGCGCGUACGAUCAUACAUACAAAUACAUGUGCAGAAAGAAGAAAAUAUGAAAUAGUCAGUAAUUUCGACAUUUUGCUAGGCGCCAAAUUUAGUUAAUUAUGUAGUACUUUAAGCAGUUUCACAGACUUAAUAUUAGUGGCAGGCUUUUCUAGCAAAAAUAUGGUAUCACAUUAAGCGUAUAGAUGUAAUUGAAUUAUUUUUGGAAUGCGGUUCAUAUCUACACAAAUGUAAAACUUAAGCGAAACCAAAAACAAUUAACGCUUGAUACUCUAGAGCUUAGAAGAGUCACAUUAAGUUUUAAUGUACAUAGUAACAGGCAAAAAACUUUUAGUUAGCUUACGA